rnacentral:rRNA from 1 species
UGGAUGAGCCCGCGGCCUAUCAGCUCGUUGGUGGGGUAACGGCCUACCAAGGCGACGACGGGUAGCUGGUCUGAGAGGACGACCAGCCACACUGGAACUGAGAUACGGUCCAGACUCCUACGGGAGGCAGCAGUGGGGAAUCUUGCACAAUGGGCGAAAGCCUGAUGCAGCGACGCCGCGUGGGGGACGAAGGCCCUCGGGUUGUAAACCCCUUUCGGCAGGGAAGAAGCGCAAGUGACGGUACCUGCAGAAGAAGCUCCGGCUAACUACGUGCCAGCAGCCGCGGCCG